AGUGAACGCUGGCGGUAGGCCUAACACAUGCAAGUCGAACGGCAGCACAGGAGAGCUUGCUCUCUGGGUGGCGAGUGGCGGACGGGUGAGGAAUACAUCGGAAUCUACUCUGUCGUGGGGGAUAACGUAGGGAAACUUACGCUAAUACCGCAUACGACCUACGGGUGAAAGCAGGGGACCUUCGGGCCUUGCGCGAUUGAAUGAGCCGAUGUCGGAUUAGCUAGUUGGCGGGGUAAAGGCCCACCAAGGCGACGAUCCGUAGCUGGUCUGAGAGGAUGAUCAGCCACACCGGAACUGAGACACGGUCCAGACUCCUACGGGAGGCAGCAGUGGGGAAUAUUGGACAAUGGGCGCAAGCCUGAUCCAGCCAUACCGCGUGGGUGAAGAAGGCCUUCGGGUUGCAAAGCCCUUUUGUUGGGAAAGAAAUCCAGCUGGCUAAUACCCGGUUGGGAUGACGGUACCCAAAGAAUAAGCACCGGCUAACUUCGUGCCAGCAGCCGCAGUAA
rnacentral:rRNA from 1 species